UACGUAGGGAGCAAGCGUUAUCCGGAUUUACUGGGUGUAAAGGGCGCGUAGGCGGGAUGGCAAGUCAGAUGUGAAAUCCAGGGGCUCAACCCCUGAACUGCAUUUGAAACUGUCGUUCUUGAGUACUGGAGAGGUUGACGGAAUUCCUAGUGUAGCGGUGAAAUGCGUAGAUAUAUGGAAGAACACCAGUGGCGAAAGCGGCUCUCUGGUCUGUAACUGACGCUGAGGUUCGAAAGCGUGGGUAGCAAACAGG
rnacentral:rRNA from 1 species